AACGCACGAGACCUGCGGACCUGCGGAAGGAUCAUUAUCGAGUGAGGGCUUCGGCCCAAAUCUCCCACCCGUGUCGAUAUAUAUCUCUGUUGCUUUGGCGGGCCCACUGGGGUCCCCCUUGGGGGUCCCCGGUCGCUGGAGAGGGGCCUUCCCGUCUUUGGAUGGGAGGGUUUCCCCCUCGGGCCCGUGUCCGCCGAAGACCCAUUGAACCCGUGUGAAUGUUUGGCAGUCUGAGUGAUG
rnacentral:misc_RNA from 1 species